UACAGAGGUGGCAAGCGUUGUUCGAAAUUACUGGGCGUAAAGGGCGCGUAGGCGGUUCGUUAAGUCCUGUGUGAAAUCCCCCGGCUCAACUGGGGAACUGCACAGGAAACUAGCGGGCUUGAGUUCGGGAGAGGGAAGCGGAAUUCCGGGUGUAGCGGUGAAAUGCGUAGAUAUCCGGAGGAACACCGGUGGCGAAGGCGGCUUCCUGGACCGACACUGACGCUGAGGCGCGAAAGCUAGGGAGCAAACGGG
rnacentral:rRNA from 1 species